GGGGCGGUAGCUCAGCUGGUUAGAGCACGGAACUCAUAAUUCCUUGGUCACGGGUUCGAGUCCCGUCCGCCCUA
rnacentral:tRNA from 1 species